rnacentral:rRNA from 1 species
GCAAAGAUUCACCCUUGUACCUUUUGCAUCAUGACUUAGCCAGCACUCAUCAAGCAAAAAGAAUUUCAGUUUGACACCCCGAAACCGGGCGAGCUACUCCAGGACAGCCUAUAAAUAGGGCCAACCCAUCUCUGUGGCAAAAGAGUGGGAAGAGCCUCGAGUAGAGGUGACAGACCUACCGAGCCCGGCCAUAGCUGGUUGCCUGGGAAUUGAAUAAAAGUUCAGCCUACCGGUUUCUUUCCAACCCGAGAGAGUUAGUCAAAGGGGGGAUAGCCCCUUUGACACAAGAUACAACUUUUCCAGGAGGGUACUGAUCACAACCCAUCAAGGAAUAACAACCCAAGUGGGCCCAAAAGCAGCCACCUCAACAGAAAGCGUCCAAGCUCAAGCACUAAAUUCCGACAACCCAUUCACAACCCCCUAAAAUUACCAGGCCCCUUCGUGCCCCCACGAAAGAGACCAUGCUACCACGAGUAAUAAGAGAACCUUCUCUCCCAGCACACGUGUACACCGGAUUGGACCCCCCACCGAAACUUAACGGCCCCAAACAAAGAGGGAAAUAAACAAAAAACUAGAAGACCACUUACCGUUGACCCUACACCGGCGUGCCCUCAAGGAAAGACUAAAAGAAAGAAAAGGAACUCGGCAAACAAGCCUCGCCUGUUUACCAAAAACAUCGCCUCUUGCAAGAAUAAGAGGUCCCGCCUGCCCACUGAUAUUAUAUUCAACGGCCGCGGUAUUUUGACCGUGCUAAGGUAGCGUAAUCACUUGUCUUUUAAAUGAAGACCCGUAUGAAAGGCUUGACGAAGGCUUAACUGUCUCCUCUUUCCAGUCAAUGAAACUGAUCUCCCCGUGCAGACGCGGGGAUAAAAACAUAAGACGAGAAGACCCUAUGGAGCUUUAGACACAAAGACAGACUAUUUUAAACACCCCUAAACAAGCACUAAAUCUAGUAAGAACCUGUCCCCGUCUUAGGUUGGGGCGACCCUGGGGAAAUAAAAAACCCCCAUGUGGAGGGAGGACCCUCUCAAAAACCCGAAACACAAUUCUAAUUAACAGAACCUCUGACCAAACUGAUCCGGCCAAAGCCGAUUAACGAAACAAGUUACCCUAGGGAUAACAGCGCUAUCCCCUUUUAAAGUCCAUAUAGACAAGGGGGUUUACGACCUCGAUGUUGGAUCAGGACAUCCUAAUGGUGCAG